GUUAGGUUAGCUUUGGUCUGUUUAUCGUUCAAAUAGGUUAGGUUAGCUUUAGUUAGUUUAUCGGGUUAGGUUAGGUUAGCUUUGGUCAGUUUAUCAGGUUAGGUUAGGUUAGCUUUAGUCAGUUUAUCGGGUUAGGUUAGGUUAGCUUU